UCCGUAGGCGGCCUUAUAAGUCAGUGGUGAAAUCCCAUCGCUCAACGAUGGAACUGCCAUUGAUACUGUAAGGCUUGAAUAAUUGUGAAGUAACUAGAAUAUGUAGUGUAGCGGUGAAAUGCUUAGAUAUUACAUGGAAUACCAAUUGCGAAGGCAGGUUACUAACAAUUGAUUGACGCUGAUGGACGAAAGCGUGGGGAGCGAACAGGAUUAGAUACCCGCGUA
rnacentral:rRNA from 1 species